rnacentral:rRNA from 1 species
AACGAACGCUGGCGGCAGGCCUAACACAUGCAAGUCGAGCGCGCCCUUCGGGGUGAGCGGCGGACGGGGGAGUAACGCGUGGGAACGUGCCCUUCUCUGCGGAAUAGCCUCGGGAAACUGAGAGUAAUACCGCAUACGCCCUUCGGGGGAAAGAUUCGUCGGAGAAGGAUCGGCACGCGUUGCUUUAGGUAGUUGGUGGGGUAAUGGCCCACCAAGGCUACGAUCCAUAGCUGGGUUGAGAGGAUGAUCAGCCACACUGGGACUGAGACACGGCCCAGACUCCUACGGGAGGCAGCAGUGGGUAAUCUUAGACAAUGGGGGCAACCCUGAACUAGCCAUGCCGCGUGAGUGAUGAAGGCCUUAGGGUUGUAAAGCUCUUUCAGCUGGGAAGAUAAUGACGGUACCAGCAGAAGAAGCCCCGGCUAACUCCGUG